UGCGGAAGCGCAAGUGUCUGAGAGUGCAAGUCUGAGAAGUGCAAGUGCAAGUCUGCAGCCAGACCCUCUUGUGCUAGUCAGGUUCAUAGAUUUCAAAACUAUGUGUGUUCAAAUGUGUUGGUUAAGACUAAAUGCAACCUAAAUGGGCUAUUAACUGGAGAAUCACCACAAAUAAUGUAGUUUACAAAGACUAAACCCUUUCUUUGACUGAAAAUGUGUGCAAAUAGUACUUAGAAUUUCUGAUAGCAAUAUUGUGCCUAAAUUCUGAUCUGUUGUUACACUUUUCUGCUGUUGGGAGUGAAACACUGCAUUUGAUUUGCACUUCUCAUACUGAAGAUUAGUGGAAAUACAUUCUCAGAGUACUUAAUAAAGAUGCAUUAAACAGAA